rnacentral:rRNA from 1 species
AGAGUUUGAUCCUGGCUCAGAAUCAACGCUGGCGGCGUGCCUAACACAUGCAAGUCGAACGAGAAAGUGGAGCAAUCCAUGAGUAAAGUGGCGACCGGGUGAGUAACACGUGACUAACCUACCUUUUAGUGGGGGAUAACAUCGGGAAACCGAUGCUAAUACCGCAUAACAUCGCAAGAUCAAAGCAGCAAUGGCGCUGGAAGAGGGGGUCGCGGCUGAUUAGCUAGUUGGCGGGGUAAUGGCCCACCAAGGCGAAGAUCGGUAUCCGGCCUGAGAGGGCGCACGGACACACUGGAACUGAAACACGGUCCAGACUCCUACGGGAGGCAGCAGUGGGGAAUUUUGCGCAAUGGGGGAAACCCUGACGCAGCAACGCCGCGUGGAGGAUGAAGUCCCUUGGGACGUAAACUCCUUUCGACCAAGACGAUAAUGACGGUACUG